rnacentral:rRNA from 1 species
AUCUACCACCAUACCACGCUGAACGCACCUGAUUUCAUCCACUUCAGAAGCUAAGCAGGGUCAGGCCUGGUUAGUCCUUGGGUAGGAUACCUGUGGUGGGGAGCUCUAGCGCUGACUUAGUGGUUGAUA